UCGGGGGUAGAGCACUGUUAUGGCUAGGGGGUCAUGGCGACUUACCAAACCAUUGCAAACUCCGAAUACUGAGAAAUGCAAUUACGGGAGACAGACCAUGGGUGCUAACGUCCGUGGUCAAGAGGGAAACAACCCAGACCGACAGCUAAGGUCCCAAAUGACGUGCUAAGUGGAAAACGAAGUGGGAAGGCAUAGACAGCCAGGAUGUUGGCUUAGAAGCAGCCAUCAUUUAAAGAAAGCGUAAUAGCUCACUGAUCGAGUCGUCCUGCGCGGAAGAUGUAACGGGGCUAAGCACGUAACCGAAGCUUCGGAUGCCCUAAUUUAUUAGGUGCAUGGUAGGAGAGCGUUCUGUAGGCCUGCGAAGGUAUUCUGUGAGGAGUGCUGGAGGUAUCAGAAGUGCGAAUGCUGACAUGAGUAGCGUUAAAGGGGGUGAAAAGCCCCCUCGCCGAAAGCGCAAGGUUUCCUACGCAACGUUCAUCGGCGUAGGGUGAGUCGGCCCCUAAGGCGAGGCAGAGAUGCGUAGCUGAUGGGAAACAGGUCAAUAUUCCUGUACCGAUGUGUAGUGCGAUGUGGGGACGGAGAAGGUUAACUCGGCCGGGUGUUGGAUGUCCCGGUUCAAGCAUGUAGGCGUGCCCUCUAGGCAAAUCCGGAGGGCUUAGCUGAGGUGUGAUAACGAGGCGGCUUGCCGCUGAAGUGAGUGAUACCCUGCUUCCAGGAAAAGCCACUAAGCUCCAGCUACACACGACCGUACCGCAAACCGACACUGGUGCGCGAGAUGAGUAUUCUAAGGCGCUUGAGAGAACUCUGGAGAAGGAACUCGGCAAAUUGACACCGUAACUUCGGAAGAAGGUGUGCCUUUAGUAGGUGAAGUCGUACAGAUGGAGCCCAAUGAGGCCGCAGAGAAUCGGUGGCUGCGACUGUUUAUUAAAAACACAGCACUCUGCAAAGACGAAAGUCGACGUAUAGGGUGUGACGCCUGCCCGGUGCUGGAAGAUUAAAUGAUGGGGUGCAAGCUCUUGACUGAAGUCCCAGUAAACGGCGGCCGUAACAAUAACGGUCCUAAGGUAGCGAAAUUCCUUGUCGGGUAAGUUCCGACCCGCACGAAUGGCGUAACGAUGGCCACACUGUCUCCUCUCGGGACUCAGCGAAGUUGAAAUGUUUGUGAUGAUGCAAUCUCCCCGCGGAAAGACGGAAAGACCCCAUGAACCUUUACUGCAGCUUUACAUUGGACUUUGACAAGAUUUGUGUAGGAUAGGUGGGAGACUAUGAAGCGGUGUCGCUAGAUAUCGUGGAGUCAUCCUUGAAAUACCACCCUGAUGUUGUUGAGGUUCUAACCUAGGUCCGUAAUCCGGACUGGGGACCGUGUAUGGUA
rnacentral:rRNA from 1 species